rnacentral:pre_miRNA from 1 species
CAACUACUCCCUCCGUCCGGAACUACUUGUCGCAGAAAUGUAUGUAUCUAGAUGUAUUUUUAGUUCUAGAUACACCCAUUUCUGUGACAAGUAAUUUGGGACGGAGGGAGUAUUUG